GGUGGUAUUGGGUCUGUAUGAUAAAGGUGGUAUUGGGUCUGUAUGAUAAAGGUGGUAUUGGGUCUGUAUUAUAAAGGUGGUAUUGGGUCUGUAUGGUAAAGGUGGUAUUGGGUCUGUAUGAUAAAGGUGGUAUUGGGUCUGUAUGGUAUUGGUUCUGUAUGAUAAAGGUGGUAUUGGGUCUGUAUGGUAAAGGUGGUAUUGGGUCUGUAUGAUAAAGGUGGUAUUGAGUAUGUAUGGUAUUGGGUCUGUAUUAUAAAGGUGGUAUUGGGUCUGUAUGAUAAAGGUGGUAUUGGGUCUGUAUGGUAAAGGUGGUAUUGGGUCUGUAUGAUAAAGGUGGUAUUGAGUAUGUAUGGUAUUGGGUCUGUAUUAUAAAGGUGGUAUUGGGUCUGUAUGAUAAAGGUGGUAUUGGGUCUGUAUGGUAAAGGUGGUAUUGGGUCUGUAUGAUAAAGGUGGUAUUGGGUCUGUAUGGUAUUGGGUCUGUAUGAUAAAGGUGGUAUUGAGUCUAUAUGGUAUUGGGUCUGUAUUAUAAAGGUGGUAUUGGGUCUGUAUGGUAUUGGGUCUGUAUUAUAAAGGUGGUAUUGGGUCUGUAUGGUAAAGGUGGUAUUGGGUCUGUAUUAUAAAGGUGGUAUUGAGUCUGUAUGGUAAAGGUGGUAUUGGGUCUGUAUGGUAAAGGUGGUAUUGGGUCUGAUAAAGGUGGUAUUGGGUCUGUAUGGUAAAGGUGGUAUUGGGUCUGUAUUAUAAAGGUGGUAUUGGGUCUGUAUGGUAAAGGUGGUAUUGAGUCUGUAUGGUAAAGGUGGUAUUGGGUCUGAUAAAGGUGGUAUUGGGUCUGUAUGGUAAAGGUGGUAUUGGGUCUGUAUUAUAAAGGUGGUAUUGGGUCUGUAUGGUAAAGGUGGUAUUGAGUCUGUAUGGUAAAGGUGGUAUUGGGUCUGUAUGGUAAAGGUGGUAUUGGGUCUGUAUGGUAAAGGUGGUAUUGGGUCUGUAUUAUAAAGGUGGUAUUGGGUCUGUAUGGUAAAGGUGGUAUUGAGUCUGUAUGGUAAAGGUGGUAUUGGGUCUGUAUGGUAAAGGUGGUAUUGGGUCUGUAUGGUAAAGGUGGUAUUGGGUCUGUAUGGUAAAGGUGGUAUUGGGUCUGUAUUAUAAAGGUGGUAUUGGGUCUGUAUGGUAAAGGUGGUAUUGGGUCUGUAUGGUAAAGGUGGUAUUGGGUCUGUAUGGUAAAGGUUGUAUU